rnacentral:rRNA from 1 species
GAUGAACGCUGGCGGCGCGCCUAACACAUGCAAGUCGAACGAUUAAAUCACCUUCGGGUGUGUAUAAAGUGGCGAACGGCUGAGUAACACGUGGGCAACCUGCCCCUUUCAUUGGGAUAGCCACGGGAAACCGUGGAUAAUACCGAAUACUUCGAGACUUCCGCAUGGAAGACUCGAGAAAGCUCCGGCGGAGAGGGAUGGGCCCGCGGCCUGUUAGCUUGUUGGUGGGGUAACGGCCUACCAAGGCAAUGAUGGGUAGCUGGGUUGAGAGACCGACCAGCCAGAUUGGGACUGAGACACGGCCCAGACUCCUACGGGAGGCAGCAGUGGGGAAUCUUGCACAAUGGGCGAAAGCCUGAUGCAGCGACGCCGCGUGCGGGAUGAAGGCCUUCGGGUUGUAAACCGCUUUCAGCAGGGACGAGGCGAAAGUGACGGUACCUGCAGAAGAAGCCCCGGCUAACUACGUG